rnacentral:tRNA from 1 species
GCGGAGAUAGCGAAGAGGUCAUAACGCGGAUGCCUUGAAAGCAUUUUGGGUGAAAGCUCACGGGGGUUCGAAUCCCUCUCUCCGCGCCA